ACAGCAGCAGCCGCGGGAAUACAGAGGGUGCGAGCGUUAAUCGGAUUUACUGGGCGUAAAGCGUGCGUAGGCGGCUUUUUAAGUCGGAUGUGAAAUCCCUGAGCUUAACUUAGGAAUUGCAUUCGAUACUGGGAAGCUAGAGUAUGGGAGAGGAUGGUAGAAUUCCAGGUGUAGCGGUGAAAUGCGUAGAGAUCUGGAGGAAUACCGAUGGCGAAGGCAGCCAUCUGGCCUAAUACUGACGCUGAGGUACGAAAGCAUGGGGAGCAAACAGGAUUAGAUACCCGGGUAGUCCCUGUCUCUUAUAC
rnacentral:rRNA from 1 species